rnacentral:rRNA from 1 species
GACGAACGCUGGCGGCGUGCCUAAUACAUGCAAGUAGAACGCUGAAGGAGGAGCUUGCUCUUCUGGAUGAGUUGCGAACGGGUGAGUAACGCGUAGGUAACCUGCCUGGUAGCGGGGGAUAACUAUUGGAAACGAUAGCUAAUACCGCAUAAGAGUAGAUGUUGCAUGACAUUUACUUAAAAGGUGCAAUUGCAUCACUACUAGAUGGACCUGCGUUGUAUUAGCUAGUUGGUGGGGUAACGGCUUACCAAGGCGACGAUACAUAGCCGACCUGAGAGGGUGAUCGGCCACACUGGGACUGAGACACGGCCCAGACUCCUACGGGAGGCAGCAGUAGGGAAUCUUCGGCAAUGGACGGAAGUCUGACCGAGCAACGCCGCGUGAGUGAAGAAGGUUUUCGGAUCGUAAAGCUCUGUUGUAAGAGAAGAACGAGUGUGAGAGUGGAAAGUUCACACUGUGACGGUAUCUUACCAGAAAGGGACGGCUAACUACGUG